rnacentral:rRNA from 1 species
UACGUAGGGUGCGAGCGUUAAUCGGAAUUACUGGGCGUAAAGUGUGCGCAGGCGGCUUCGCAAGUCGAGUGUGAAAUCCCCGAGCUUAACUUGGGAAUUGCGCUCGAAACUACGGAGCUGGAGUGUGGCAGAGGAAGGUGGAAUUCCACGUGUAGCGGUGAAAUGCGUAGAGAUGUGGAGGAACACCGAUGGCGAAGGCAGCCCCCUGGGUCAAAACUGACGCUCAUGCACGAAAGCGUGGGGAGCAAACAGG